rnacentral:rRNA from 1 species
GGAUAACCUGCCCCUUGGGUCCCGGCAUAACCCCGGGAAACUGGGGAUAAUUCCNGGAUAACGCACAUAUGCUGGAAUGCUUUAUGCGUCAAAUGGAUUCGUCUGCCCAAGGAUGGGUCUGCGGCCUAUCAGGUAGUAGUGGGUGUAAUGUACCUACUAGCCUACGACGGGUACGGGUCGUGAGAGCGAGAGCCCGGAGAUGGAUUCUGAGACACGAAUCCAGGCCCUACGGGGUGCAGCAGGCGCGAAAACUUUACAAUGCUGGAAACAGCGAUAGGGGGACUUUGAGUGCCAGGAUACAAUCUUGGCUGUCGUCGUGCCUAAAAAGCACGGCAUAGCAAGGGCCGGGCAAGACCGGUGCCAGCCGCCGCGGUAACACCGGCGGCUCGAGUGGUAACCGCUAUUAUUGGGUCUAAAGGGUCUGUAGCCGGCUGGAUAAGUCUCUUGGGAAAUCCGACAGCUUAACUGUCGGGCUGUCAGGAGAUACUGUCCGGCUCGAGACCGGGAGAGGUGAGAGGUACUUCAUGGGUAGGGGUGAAAUCUUGUAAUCCUUGAAGGACCACCAGUGGCGAAGGCGUCUCACCAGAACGGAUCUGACGGCAAGGGACGAAAGCUAGGGGCACGAACCGGAUUAGAUACCCGGGUAGUCCUAGCCGUAAACGAUACUCGCUAGGUGUCGGCCACGGUGCGACCGUGGUCGGUGCCGUAGGGAAGCCGUGAAGCGAGCCACCUGGGAAGUACGGCCGCAAGGCUGAAACUUAA